GUAGGUGGCAAGCGUUGUCCGGAAUUAUUGGGCGUAAAGCGCGCGCAGGUGGUUCUUUAAGUCUGAUGUGAAAUCCCCCGGCUCAACCGGGGAGGGUCAUUGGAAACUGGGGAACUUGAGUGCAGGAGAGGAAAGUGGAAUUCCACGUGUAGCGGUGAAAUGCGUAGAUAUGUGGAGGAACACCAGUGGCGAAGGCGACUUUCUGGCCUGUAACUGACACUGAGGCGCGAAAGCGUGGGGAGCAAACAGGGAUUAGAUACCCUGGUAGUCCACGCCGUAAACGAUGAGUGCUAAGUGUUGGGGGGGUUUCCCGCCCCUCAGUGCUGCAGCUAACGCAUUAAGCACUCCGCCUGGGGAUACGGUCGCAAGACUG
rnacentral:rRNA from 1 species